UCCUACGGGAGGCAGCAGUGGGGAAUAUUGCACAAUGGACGAAAGUCUGACGGAGCGACGCCGCGUGGAUGACGAAGGCCGAAAGGUUGUAAAAUCCUUUUGUCGAGGAAGAGUAAGCUAGGGAGGGAAUGCCCUGGUGAUGACAUGAAUCGAUGAAUAAGCCCCGGCUAACUACGUGCCAGCAGCCGCGGUAAUA
rnacentral:rRNA from 1 species